rnacentral:rRNA from 1 species
GACGAACGCUGGCGGCGUGCUUAACACAUGCAAGUCGAACGGUAAGGCCCUUCGGGGUACACGAGUGGCGAACGGGUGAGUAACACGUGGGUGAUCUGCCCUGCACUUCGGGAUAAGCCUGGGAAACUGGGUCUAAUACCGGAUAGGACCCUGGGAUGCAUGUCCUGGGGUGGAAAGCUUUUGCGGUGUGGGAUGGGCCCGCGGCCUAUCAGCUUGUUGGUGGGGUGAUGGCCUACCAAGGCGACGACGGGUAGCCGGCCUGAGAGGGUGACCGGCCACACUGGGACUGAGAUACAGUCCAGACUCCUACGGGAGGCAGCAGUGGGGAAUAUUGCACAAUGGGCGCAAGCCUGAUGCAGCGACGCCGCGUGAGGGAUGACGGCCUUCGGGUUGUAAACCUCUUUCAGCACCGACGAAGCGCAAGUGACGGUAGGUGCAGAAGAAGGACCGGCCAACUACGUGCCAGCAGCCGCGGUAA